UGUAUUUGGAACGCUUGGUAAUUUAGAUAGGUGAGGAUUGGGUCGAGACGUGAAUCCUAUGGUGCGUAAGAAAAGAGAUGAACCCGAUGGAGGUAUUGAUGAUAUAGAAAGUAGUGUUAUUGUCAAAGAACAAACGAGUGACAUCCAAACAUUGAAUGAUAACGAGUGGCAUUAAUGUAGUGUAAAUAACACUGGAGGUCG
rnacentral:lncRNA from 1 species